UUCAACAAAGUUCUGUAAAAGGUUGGAUCCGACGCCUUUAGGAGGCUACUAUAGGCUCUCCUUCUCUACUUCUACUCAAUACGUCCACGACGGGCAGAACGGUAACUUUUCGCCUAGAUCCAAGCUUGGGUACACGGGGAAACCCAACCCCUUGGGCGGAUGGGCGGCAAGGCAGAAUUGAGAGGU
rnacentral:ribozyme from 1 species